GGCGGCGAGCCCCGGGGCCGGGGGGGGAGCGGGGAGGGCCCGGCGGCGGCGAUGCCUUUGUCAUGGGGGCGCCCCCACCCCCCCCCCCCCUCACCCCACACCCGGCCUGCUAGGGCGGGGCUACAGCGGCUCGGCGGCUCCUGAUUGGCUGAGCCGGCUGUCAGUCACCCGCCCGAGGGGCGCCGCCCUUCGCCUGUGAGGAGCGGCCCCCCCGCCGCUGAGGGGUGGGGUGGAUGGGCGGGGCGGCGCGCUCCCAUUGGUUGACGUAUCCACUCGCCCCGCCCCCUGCGCGGAGCGGGCGCUCUCAUUGGCCGGCGGGGCUGUCCGUCAGGAGGGGCCGCGGCCCCGCUUUGUGCCUAGGGGGACAAUGGGGCCGCGCUCCCGGCAUGCUCCGCGCCCAGGCCUCGGCCGCGCUCCCGGCAUGCACCGGGCGCCGCCCCUCACAGCGGGACCCCCCCCCCCCCCACCCCCCCCCCCUCCUGGCGGCGGCUCCGGGGCGCAGCGGGCCGGGACCCCCCCGGGUCCCAAAUUCCCAUCACAAAAUCCCCCGCUCAGCCCCUCAGGGCUCCGCCCGGCCUGGGCCACGUCGGCGGGGGCCGCAUUUGGGGUGUGGCGGCUGUUAUGGGCCGGUGGGGCCGGCGGUGGGGCCCGGCCGUCACCCACAGUGUGCCUGGGGGAGCUGGGGCGGCCUGAGGGGAGGGGGGGGGGAUGGGGGCUGGGGGGAGCGGUGGGGGCUGGGGGGAGCCUCCUCGGCUGAGUCACGCGUUGCCGCCCCUCCCUUCUGGCUGCUGCUGUCAGCGAGCCUGUUUUUGCUGUUUCAGAGGGUCAGUGCUGCCUUCUCUGCGCGUCAUCUGAGCUUCCCCUGAAUCCUUUCACCGUGUGGCGUGUGCCUGCUAGCCUAGCACACCUCAACGCACUCCUUUUUUACAAUCUGAACGGUUUAUAGAUCUCAAAUCGAGUCAGUCCUUCCAACCCUUCCUUUAUUAUCCAUCCCACUUGCCUCUCUAUAACUGAAGCUCCCUGAGACACGUUGUUGUUGUUGUUUCUUCCCCUGGAAUCACAGCGGGGAGAUUACUGGGGGCUUAAGGGCAGGGCUUAGGUCGAUUGUUCUUAGCGGUGACUGGAGUAAUGUUGAUCCUGCUGUGUUGCAGUGAGUAGCUAGCCGUUAGCUCUUCCCAGGCACUCUGAGGAAGAAUUUAUUACGAUACAGUCAUGUAAUAGCAGCCUAACGGCUGCCUUUUUGUUACUUAGCUCAAUGAUUGCUUGUUCCUCCCUGCUUCAGACCUAAAGAAAGGUUCACGUGCUGCCAGAAACCGACUCUGUUUCUUUUGUCGUUUUAACAGCUGGUCUUAAAAGCUAAUUCUUUUGCCUUUCUGCUAAAUGAGUUCCCUCUUUCCCCUCCCAGUGCGAGCUGUGGAAUGAAGCAGUUGUUGUGAGAUCCGCCUUCAGUGCUCCCAGGCUGUCAGCCGAUGAGCCCUGUGGUGACGUUGCAUUUUUGGUGCUCUCGGGAGCUCAGGCAGGAUGGGAAACGGGGCUGCACGGAGAGGUGGUGCCGCUCCUGCUGCCUCACAGAGCUGCCGACAGCUUUCCAAGGCUGAACGCUGCCCUGUCCCAUGGACGUGCACCUGUGGGAGGGCAGGGCAGGGGAGCUGAGGUUCUGAGCUGGUAAACAAGGCAGACCCUCCCUGUUCCAGCCUGCCCCAGUAUCCCAGCAUGUUCCAAAAGGACACUCAGGUAUGUGGCCACAAAAAAACGUGACUUAUUUUUUGUACCAAACAGUGCGCUCAGCUCCCCGAUUCCAGCAGGGAGUUUUGUAGUGUACAGCGAGAGGCUGCAGCUGUACCUCUGCACAGUCUGAUGCUCCUCCCUGUCCAUUAAAGAAAAAAGAAACCAGCAAGGAGGAUGAAAGCCCAGCCAGGAUAGCUACCGGUGGAAGGAUGUUAAUUUUGAAAUUCUUUUAAAUUUUAAUAAACCUGAGCUUACAGCA